GAUCAAACCUGGGCGGCACACAUGCCAGGCGAGCGCUUGAGCCACACCCCCAGCCCAGGAAUAGUAUCUUCAGAGUGCAAGGGCUAAGCACAGAAAUGUUCCACAUUUGUUUUAGUCUAAUUCAUCCUUUGGAAGUAAGGUCAAAGUAUUUUUAGGUAAGUAAUGACGAAGAGAAUUUGCCAUUUACAGGUCUCCCUGAGAGCAUGAAAGGACAUAUUUAAGGAAGGAGUCAGUUAAAUCUAGAAGGGGGAAUACAGUAUGAGGAACACGGGGAAAUGGGCCAGUACAUGGCCAAGUCCAAUAGGAGGAGUAAUAAAAAUGACACUGACUAAUUUAGAAGGCAUAAAAAUGAAAUGGAACUAGGGGCUGGGAUUGUGGCUCAGCAGUAGAGCACUCGCCUAGCAAGGGCAGGACCCGGGUUUGAUCCUCAGCACCACAUAAAAAUAAAGGCAUUGUGUUGUGUCCAUCUACACCUAAUAUAUCUAUAUCUAUAUCUAUCUAUCUAUAUAUAUAUAUAUAUAUGUAUGAAAUAUAUGAAACUAAAACUGCUAGACAAAGAAAACAGGUAAAGUGGGGAAGGGCUGAUGGAAGUUAAAGCUUUAUCAAGUCUUUUUUUAUUUGUGGGAGGAAGAUAUACUGAUUAAUUUAACUUUUGCUAUUAAAAAUCUAAGGUAAUCAGUACAAAAUAGAAAUAUAAUACAUAACCCAUAUGAAACACAAAAAGUUCAUCAUAUAUUGGGCAACAAAGUAUCAACAAAUCCCAAGUAGCUGAAAUCACAAACAUGUAAGUGCUAAUAAAAGCUAAAAAUAAAAAAUAGUGAAAAUUCC
rnacentral:lncRNA from 1 species